rnacentral:misc_RNA from 1 species
UAGUGAUUAGUCGUAACAAGGUAGCCGUAUCGGAAGGUGCGGCUGGAUCACCUCCUUUCUAAGGAAAUACCCAACUACGAUGAUAGUUGGAUACUCAGGCAGGUUUUAUUGCUCACUCGUUGUCAGUUUUGAAAGAACAACCGACCCCCAAAAAGUGAAGAAAAGCGUUGCAGCUUAUUCCGAUUACUUUUCGGGGACCCCGGAAACAUUCUUUCUACAGGAAGUCCAAACGGAAUACCCAAGGGCCUUUAGCUCAGCUGGUUAGAGCGCACCCCUGAUAAGGGUGAGGUCGGUGGUUCGAGUCCACUAAGGCCCACCAUUAUCGACAGCAUGGUCGAUCUUCAUUACAUGGGGCCAUAGCUCAAAUGGGAGAGCGCCUGCCUUGCAAGCAGGAGGUCAGCGGUUCGAUCCCGCUUGGCUCCACCAAGCACUUUUCCUUUCGGAAAACGUGCAAUUUUGCACCUUGAAAACUGGAUAACGAAAGAAAAGAAUUGCUGAAACAUCCUUUAGCAACCAUGAUUUAUGCGAGUGAAGGUUGUUCGAGAUUGCAGCGGCUUUUACAGUCUUUAUUUCUACCUUUAAGGGGGUUAUUGUUCAAGAAAUCAAGCUGUAACGGCGAGGCAAGCCGAAUCAACCGGAACGUUAGGUUUUUUAAGUAAGAGCGCACGGAGGAUACCUAGGCACACAGAUUUAAGGG